GACCUGUAUGCUAAAAAAAUUGCUUUUUCGAACUUUGUUGCUGUGUUUCACAAGCGCAUCUUGUUUUGUUGGUCUCUGACCAGUAGAGCUUAUGCGAUAGUAAAGCGUCCGGCGUCCGUCCGUCUGUGCAAACACUACUCCUUAAAUUUUAGUCUGAUUUCAAUAUAACUUGGCACACAAGUAGACUAUACUAAGAUACAUAAUUCUGUGCAUCAGUUUUUGAUAAGUACAAACCAGUAGAGCUACAGUCUCGACAGAGACUUCUGGUUAUUUUUUCUUCCAUCCCGGUUGUUGCUAAUGCUAUUACAUAAUUAGUUUAAAUUAGAAUGCAAUAGUACCUGGACAUAAUUUAUCAUUUCAGAGAGAAGAAAACUGUGUGACUUUAAAAGAAAACCAGUGAGAUAAAAUCAUAGAAAAUGUAUGAUGAUUCAGGAUGUGGUCAUUUGUGACAUUAAAACAGGAAUUGUCUUCACCAAUAGACGAAUUUCACAUUCCUAAGAGUUUCCUCCAAUUGUUGGCGUAUCGCUCAUUUUUCCCACUUUGUCCUUUGUCCUGUUCUGUGGAUGCCCUAAGACAGUGUCUACCCAUCACUCCAUCUGAUAUCACUUGUUCUGAGCAUAUUUCUCUCUCAAACUUAAACUACAGAGAGCCUGUGGAUAGUGGAUGAAGAGUGACCUUGGACCAAUUUUCUAGGUCAAAGAUCAAAGGUGAUGUGAAGAAAACCAGGAAACUGAUGUUGAAAGAAGUACUUAAUGACCCUUAUGAAUGGACUUAAAUGUGAAAGACUGUUCCAUUGUUUAUAUAAGAUAUAUGGAUUU